CAUUCAUUAAAUAUCAGUGUGUGCACAGUUUUUUUGUAUGUUUAAAUCCUGCAUCUUUGGUUGAAGGUUGUGGUUUAAGUUAAGGAGACCUGCUCUUAACUACCCUGCAUUAGAAAGCUGUCAGAUUUUUAGAUGGGGGCAAUGUAGACGAUUUAAUGCUUAUAGCUGUGAACUCUUCUUAUCACACCUGCCGAUCCCAGUCCUAUGCAAUCAGU